rnacentral:rRNA from 1 species
GGGUUGUGAGGUUAAGCGACUAAGCGUACACGGUGGAUGCCCUGGCAGUCAGAGGCGAUGAAGGACGUGCUAAUCUGCGAAAAGCGUCGGUAAGGUGAUAUGAACCGUUAUAACCGGCGAUGUCCGAAUGGGGAAACCCAGUGUGAUUCGUCACACUAUCGUUAACUGAAUACAUAGGUUAACGAGGCGAACCGGGGGAACUGAAACAUCUAAGUACCCCGAGGAAAAGAAAUCAACCGAGAUUCCCCCAGUAGCGGCGAGCGAACGGGGAGCAGCCCAGAGUCUGAAUCAGCUUGUGUGUUAGUGGAACGGUCUGGAAAGUCCGACGGUACAGGGUGAUAGUCCCGUACACCAAAAUGCACAGGCUGUGAACUCGAAGAGUAGGGCGGGACACGUGGUAUCCUGUCUGAAUAUGGGGGGACCAUCCUCCAAGGCUAAAUACUCCUGACUGACCGAUAGUGAACCAGUACCGUGAGGGAAAGGCGAAAAGAACCCCGGCGAGGGGAGUGAAAAAGAACCUGAAACCGUGUACGUACAAGCAGUGGGAGCACCUUCGGGUGUGACUGCGUACCUUUUGUAUAAUGGGUCAGCGACUUAUAUUCUGUAGCAAGGUUAACCGUAUAGGGGAGCCGCAGGGAAACCGAGUCUUAACUGGGCGUUAAGUUGCAGGGUAUAGACCCGAAACCCGGUGAUCUAGCCAUGGGCAGGUUGAAGGUUGGGUAACACUAACUGGAGGACCGAACCGACUAAUGUUGAAAAAUUAGCGGAUGACUUGUGGCUGGGGGUGAAAGGCCAAUCAAACCGGGAGAUAGCUGGUUCUCCCCGAAAGCUAUUUAGGUAGCGCCUCGUGAAUUCAUCUUCGGGGGUAGAGCACUGUUUCGGCUAGGGGGUCAUCCCGACUUACCAACCCGAUGCAAACUACGAAUACCGAAGAAUGUUAUCACGGGAGACACACGGCGGGUGCUAACGUCCGUCGUGAAGAGGGAAACAACCCAGACCGCCAGCUAAGGUCCCAAAGUCAUGGUUAAGUGGGAAACGAUGUGGGAAGGCACAGACAGCCAGGAUGUUGGCUUAGAAGCAGCCAUCAUUUAAAGAAAGCGUAAUAGCUCACUGGUCGAGUCGGCCUGCGCGGAAGAUGUAACGGGGCUAAACCAUGCACCGAAGCUGCGGCAGCGACACUAUGUGUUGUUGGGUAGGGGAGCGUUCUGUAAGCCUGCGAAGGUGACCUGUGAGGGUUGCUGGAGGUAUCAGAAGUGCGAAUGCUGACAUAAGUAACGAUAAAGCGGGUGAAAAGCCCGCUCGCCGGAAGACCAAGGGUUCCUGUCCAACGUUAAUCGGGGCAGGGUGAGUCGACCCCUAAGGCGAGGCCGAAAGGCGUAGUCGAUGGGAAACAGGUUAAUAUUCCUGUACUUGGUGUUACUGCGAAGGGGGGACGGAGAAGGCUAUGUUAGCCGGGCGACGGUUGUCCCGGUUUAAGCAUGUAGGCUGAUUGUCCAGGCAAAUCCGGAUAAUCAAGGCUGAGGUGUGAUGACGAGGCACUACGGUGCUGAAGUAACAAAUGCCCUGCUUCCAGGAAAAGCCUCUAAGCAUCAGGUAACAUUAAAUCGUACCCCAAACCGACACAGGUGGUCAGGUAGAGAAUACCAAGGCGCUUGAGAGAACUCGGGUGAAGGAACUAGGCAAAAUGGUGCCGUAACUUCGGGAGAAGGCACGCUGGUGUGUAGGUGAAGUCCCUGCGGAUGGAGCUGAGACCAGUCGAAGAUACCAGCUGGCUGCAACUGUUUAUUAAAAACACAGCACUGUGCAAACACGAAAGUGGACGUAUACGGUGUGACGCCUGCCCGGUGCCGGAAGGUUAAUUGAUGGGGUUAUCCGUAAGGAGAAGCUCUUGAUCGAAGCCCCGGUAAACGGCGGCCGUAACUAUAACGGUCCUAAGGUAGCGAAAUUCCUUGUCGGGUAAGUUCCGACCUGCACGAAUGGCGUAAUGAUGGCCAGGCUGUCUCCACCCGAGACUCAGUGAAAUUGAACUCGCUGUGAAGAUGCAGUGUACCCGCGGCAAGACGGAAAGACCCCGUGAACCUUUACUAUAGCUUGACACUGAACAUUGAGCCUUGAUGUGUAGGAUAGGUGGGAGGCUUUGAAGCGUGGACGCCAGUCUGCGUGGAGCCAACCUUGAAAUACCACCCUUUAAUGUUUGAUGUUCUAACGUUGGCCCCUGACCGGGGUUGCGGACAGUGUCUGGUGGGUAGUUUGACUGGGGCGGUCUCCUCCCAAAGCGUAACGGAGGAGCACGAAGGUUAGCUAAUCCUGGUCGGACAUCAGGAGGUUAGUGCAAUGGCAUAAGCUAGCUUGACUGCGAGCGUGACGGCGCGAGCAGGUGCGAAAGCAGGUCAUAGUGAUCCGGUGGUUCUGAAUGGAAGGGCCAUCGCUCAACGGAUAAAAGGUACUCCGGGGAUAACAGGCUGAUACCGCCCAAGAGUUCAUAUCGACGGCGGUGUUUGGCACCUCGAUGUCGGCUCAUCACAUCCUGGGGCUGAAGUAGGUCCCAAGGGUAUGGCUGUUCGCCAUUUAAAGUGGUACGCGAGCUGGGUUUAGAACGUCGUGAGACAGUUCGGUCCCUAUCUGCCGUGGGCGCUGGAGAAUUGAGGGGGGCUGCUCCUAGUACGAGAGGACCGGAGUGGACGCAUCACUGGUGUUCGGGUUGUCAUGCCAAUGGCACUGCCCGGUAGCUAAAUGCGGAAGAGAUAAGUGCUGAAAGCAUCUAAGCACGAAACUUGCCCCGAGAUGAGUUCUCCCUGAGACUUUAAGUCUCCUGAAGGAACGUUAAAGACGAUGACGUUGAUAGGCCGGGUGUGUAAGCGCAGCGAUGCGUUGAGCUAACCGGUACUAAUGAACCGUGAGGCUUAACCUUACAACGCCGAAG